rnacentral:lncRNA from 1 species
GGAGCCUGGCGGGCUACAGUCCAUAGGGUUGCAAAGAGCUGGACACGACUAAAGCGACUUGGCACGUGCACGUGGCAUUAUAUACACUGAGUUACGAAAAAAGUGGCUGAUCCCAACCCACAGGGGUCCCCGAGGCCAGGCACUCCCCAUGGUGGCCCUGUGGGCAGGUAUAGCGAGGUGGCUAAGCUGGAGGGUAGCCUUGGACUUCUGGCCUCCAGAACUAUGAGAGGAUAAACUUCUGCUGUUUAAGCUGUGAAGUGAUUUAUGACGGCCAUCCUGGGAAAAUGGACACCUCUCCCACCCCUUUACUCCCCGUAUAUACCAUCCUUCCAACCUGGGGUCCCUGGGAAGGUCAGGAGUAAUUAGAGAAUCUAACCGCCCAUAUCCCUCGUUUAAUCUCCAAAGUGGCCUAAUUAUCUGUCACCCAUGGUGAACUGCCCACCUUUUCCUAUUCCCCUGGGACAGGAAUGGACAUUUCAGGGUUGAUCUGCACAGACUAAAAGAAUGAGCAGGAAGAGUGACAGCUUGCUGCUUCUUUGAGCCAAUAAAGGAAAUAGAUUUUGCCCCCUAAAGUCAAAGAGCAUUUGUAAAAAACAAAGUCCAAGCUAAUUUAAUACACUCACUUAAUUAUUUUAGUAGCAAGUCAAUAUUCCUCAAUUGCUCCAUCUUACAAACUCAGCCAAGAUGACAAAGGAAACAUUAUUUAAAUCUGUGGCCAAAAAAGUGAGCCUAGAUAAAGAGAGCAAAAGGCUAAAUCUGAUAUGAUUUAACAAAGGCGAGAGAAGACCCAACCCUUCCCAAAAAAUAAAUCAUAGCCACACUUAUUGCCAAGAUCCAAAGAAAAAAAAUUUAUUUACAAUAGAGAAUUUUAUUUGAAACAUGCAUUUUUCUUUUUUCUUUUUUUUAAACAAAUCAGCAAAUGCAGAUCAAGUUUACACUCCUUAAGGCAAGAGUCCCUUUGGUCAGCGAUUUGUCUUUUAUUAGAGAAUCAGACAAUCUCCCUGAUACAGGAACUCUGAGGUCAACUUGCUAUGAAUUAUACUAGGAAAAUGCAAACCAAUAGCAAGA